AGCAGGGCAUCGGAUGCAGGAACCCCACGCCUGCCCAUUUCCCAGCAGUGACCUUGAGGUGGCCUCUGCUCUGCUAUAAAUGAGGCUGUGUGUGUGUGUGUGUGUGUGUGUGUGUGUGUGACUUUUACAAAACUUUGUGAAGCACUCCGUUCUAGGCAUUAACAGUUAGGAGCUCCUUUCAUCUUCACCAGAACACCAGGAGUUGGGACUGCGGCUGCUGCCCGUUGUACAGAUGGGAAACCCAGAGCCAGCCCCACCCCACCAGCUCCUCCGUACCUGCCUCGGAUGCCCUCCCCUCCGGGCCAGCCAUGAGGGCCUCCUCCGACUCCUCGCUGUCUGAAACUUCCAGCGUGGGGCUGUCCAGCAGGAGAUCUUCUUCCUCCGACAGCACAGGGCUGGGGUAUGGGGCAUACGCUGGGGGGCCCAUGGUCUGCAAAAGGUCAGGAUCACCUGCAGUCCAGGGACCCCCACCCCACCCUCCCUCUGCUCUCUUCCCUCAGCUACCUCCUCCUGGGUCCCCACUGUGGCCCUCCCCACUCUCUUUACAGCCUGCACUCUGGCCUCGGUUCAGAUCUCCGUGGCAUGGCCAAGGGAUGCCCAGGCCCCCUCCCUGAAAGCCUGCCCAACACCGAUCAUGGCCUUCUAUGCUGCCCCUUGCCUAACGUCCAUGCCUCUGUCAGCUGGUCCGCGGCUGGUCCGUGCAAUGGAGUGAAAACAGUUCUUAAUCUCAGAGGGCUGACGGAGGCUUUCGCACGCUGCCUGGCAUCUAGUAAAUCUCGAUCAAA